CGCCACCAGGACGCACUUCCGGCUCUCGUCUGGGAACCAAAGUCGCAGGAGCGAGGGAAGCUUGCGGCGUCCCCUAGAGACGGGGCGGGGGCGGGGCCUGCGCUGUCACUCUUCGGGCCACGCCCCCUCACGUGUGCUGGGCGAGAAUGAGGGUGAGAGGGCUCUCUGCGCUGAAGACCCGGGAGGGUCCCGGCAGGCUUGAACCCAACCACAUCCGGGAGUCGGUUUCCUCCUCGUAACCUGGGUGCGAGCAGCGGCAGGGCUCGCCCUGGUGUCGGACUCCAGCCCAGUGUGGGGCCUGGGGGCUGCGAGUGGGAUGCGGCCCGGCUCUGAGCCGCGUCCCAGGUAGAAGGUGGAGGCAGCUGACUCGAUGCCCCUACAGCAGGCCCACCUUCCCCAGGGCGAAUAGUGAACAAGUAAACGUCCACUGAACGCCCUCUGCAGGCCCCACUCUGGGGCGGCACUCAGAAGAGAAAGGGAGUUGGGGCCGAGAUGGAUGGCCCCUUGCUGUGCCCACCUCGACCUGUGAGGCCAGGGGUUCAACUGUGUCCUUCACCUUGACAGGCAGCUGCUGCCCAAACUGUGACCCAAACAGGAGUGGAGGUGCCAACAGCUGCUUCACCCUGCCCUGCACCUGAUUCCAUAGGACUCUGGGGCAUUAGGUCAGAAUUCUGAAAAUGCCUCUUCCAACAUUCUAUGCCCAAAUGCCCAGACCUGUGAACAGUUACAGUACAUGGCAGACAUAAUAAAGGUUACUAAUCAGCCGACCUUAAA